rnacentral:rRNA from 1 species
UGCCUAUCAAUAAGCGGAGGAAAAGAAACUAACAAGGAUUCCCCUAGUAGCGGCGAGCGAAGCGGGAAAAGCUCAAAUUUGUAAUCUGGCGUCUACGACGUCCGAGUUGUAAUCUCGAGAAGUGUUUUCCGUGAUAGACCGCAUACAAGUCUCUUGGAACAGAGCGUCAUAGUGGUGAGAACCCAGUACACGAUGCGGAUGCCUAUUACUUUGUGAUACACUUUCGAAGAGUCGAGUUGUUUGGGAAUGCAGCUCAAAUUGGGUGGUAAAUUCCAUCUAAAGCUAAAUAUUGGCGAGAGACCGAUAGCGAACAAGUACCGUGAGGGAAAGAUGAAAAGCACUUUGGAAAGAGAGUUAACAGUACGUGAAAUUGUUGGAAGGGAAACACAUGCAGCCAGACUUGCUAUUCGGGGCAACUCGAUUGGCAGGCCCGCAUCAGUUUUUCGGGGCGGAAAAGCAUAGAGAGAAGGUAGCAAUUUCGGUUGUGUUAUAGCUCUUUAUUGGAUUCGCCCUGGGGGACUGAGGAACGCAGCGUGCUUUUAGCAUAAGCUUCGGCUUAUCCACGCUUAGGAUGCGGGUGUAAUGGCUGUAUAUGACCCGUCUUGAAAACACGGACCA